CCAGACUCCUACGGGAGGCAGCAGUGGGGAAUAUUGCGCAAUGGGCGAAAGCCUGACGCAGCGACGCCGCGUGGGGGAUGAAGGCCUUCGGGUUGUAAACCCCUUUCAGCAGGGACGAGGCGAAAGUGACGGUACCUGCAGAAGAAGCGCCGGCUAACUACGUGCCAGCAGCCGCGGUAACACGUAGGGCGCAAGCGUUGUCCGGAAUUAUUGGGCGUAAAGAGCUCGUAGGCGGUCUGUUGCGUCCGCUGUGAAAACUCGGGGCUUAACCCCGAGCCUGCAGUGGAUACGGGCAGACUAGAGGUAGGUAGGGGAGAAUGGAAUUCCCGGUGUAGCGGUGAAAUGCGCAGAUAUCGGGAGGAACACCGGUGGCGAAGGCGGUUCUCUGGGCCUUACCUGACGCUGAGGAGCGAAAGCGUGGGGAGCAAACAGGAUUAGAUACCCUGGUAGUCCACGCCGUAAACGUUGGGCGCUAGGUGUGGGAUCCUUCCACGGAUUCCGUGCCGCAGCUAACGCAUUAAGCGCCCCGCCUGGGGAGUACGGCCGCAAGGCUA
rnacentral:rRNA from 1 species